CCAAGGCAGAACCUUUCCCUCCACCGGUCCCUCAGGUUUCAGCCUACCUCUCUUGUCUUUUAAGCCCUACUGCAGAAUAGUGGCCUCUCAAUAAACCUUUACAUCCGUGUGAAAGUUCGAAUUGUUUUCCAUUGCUUAGAGGUGGGAUGUGGUGGGGGUGAUCAGGAAUUCUGAGAUUUGUAAGCGCUGCUUUCUUUAACGGAAAUUGAGCCCUAUUUUGAGGGAAAUUAGUUUUGCAGACUUCGUUAAAAAAAAAAAAAGCUAAAACUUUUGUUCACCAGCUGCUCAGCUUUUCAGUCUGGGUUUGAGCUGGAACCUGCUGCAAGCGUUUGACGGCAUUCACGCGCUUUUGAAACUUUCCAUGAACGGACUUGGAUCUAAUAUCCCUGAAAACAAAGAAAGAACAGUGCAAUUUGAACACAGUAGCCUCUGCCCCAUGCCUGAGGGAGACAGCACAGCUUUGGGAACUAUGAUUGAGUGACAGCCCUACGUAUGAAGUAAGUAACCAGGCUGCCCACUUAGCCCUCUUUUCCAUGGUUUCUUAAAUAGUUGGGUUUUCCUGACUUUUUUUUCUUUUUUUCUUUUUCUAAGGUUGGAGUAGUACAGCCAGCUGGCUAGAAUCUGCUUCCCAUGUGUUCUUAAUAACUUUUAUUUCCCUAAGGGCUAGCCUAUGCUUCUCAAACCUGGCUACACAUGAGAAUCACCAGGGUAACUUAAAAGAAAAAAAAAAAAAUACCAACGUGUGAACCCAUAACCAAAGAUUCUGAUUAAAUUGGUCAGGGGUGGAUCCUGGGCAACAGUAGGUUAUGAAACCUUCCAUCUGACUCUGAUGUGUGGCUAGACCUGACCAUCUCUACUUUUCAAUUUUUCAGGAGAAAUACCAGAAUGGCAUGACCUUUUAUUCAGUCUGCACAUCAUUUCUGCACACUACUUCCAGGGCAGGGGAUGUUGCAUACUCAAUAUAUACUGACUAGUCAAAUGUGGAAAGAAUGAUGCAUUUGAAAAGAUUAUUCCUUUCUUCUGUUUUAGGUUGGGAAUGUGACUAGUCAAUAAUGCCUGUGAGGACCAACUGGAAGAGAAGAAAUCAUUUAUUCUUUACCAUCAAUAUGUGACUGUGUCUUGAAAUGAAUAUCCUGGAAUCUGAUUCAGACUUGAUUUUGGAAACCCCUGUCCGCCCCCCCCCCCCUCCUCUGGAGCCUUAGGCAUGUGGUCAAAGAAUAUGAGUAAGGAACAGGGAACCAAGUCCCCUAAUUUAUCUUUAAUUUCUGUUAUUUUCUUACUGAACUCCCCUUCUCCUAUAUUAACUCUCCCUUCCAUGGAAUAGGUGAUGUGAAAUAGGUCCUACAUCCAUGUUAAAAGUUAAAGAGAUAAUGUUAGUAUUUUAAACAAAAUAAAAGAACAGCAAUAGAAGAGAUAAUAGCA
rnacentral:lncRNA from 1 species